GGCCUUUCUAGGAGCCAGCUUGCUUUCAUCUUACUGUUUUGAUUGUGCCUCACAAGGGACAACACUCCGAUUGUCUAGGAGGAGGAAGGUCAGGGACAGAAAAGUAAAAGCCAGGAGCAGCCUGUCCUGUCUGCCUGGGCUGCUGGGGAAUGAUUGUCAGUGAAUCGAGUUGUCUGUGGAGCCCCUGAGCAAAUUCUCCCAGUGGCAGCAGAUCUCGCAAAAGGGGAGGAAGGCCUUCACCGCUGAACCCGAGCUUUGCCAUUUCGAAGUGCUGAGUCACCUCGUCCUCUCAGGGUCAGACACUUUCACGCAGGAAACGUCCUGCAGAGCACCGCAGCGGGAGCACCGAGCUGGGUGGUAAUUUAUUCUAGAACCGAUGUGCCAGCGUUUCCUUCUGUGUGCUUUGAGUAGGAGCAGGAACAACGGAUCUCUCCAAGCAUGGGCAGACGGAGAGCUGCAACCCUUGGACCAACCAACGCCUGCCAGUGGGCGCCUGCAUCCCACGCCUGCAUCCCGCGUGCAGGCUACUGGCAGGUGCUCUGUGUCUCACUCCAUCUUUACCUGCCCUGUAAAGGAGGAACUGUUGUUUUUAGUCUCCUGGAGCAGCCGCGCCUUCCCACAGCACUCAGACUUGAGGAAGCUUAAGAAGCUGAGACCAGAGAGGGCGAUGUCCACCUUGGUGACGAAGCACUCUAGAGGCUGCCGCCACACUUAAAAAGUGACCAGUCACCAACAACUCAUCUUAAGUACAGGAAGAAUGCCAGCAGCUGAAUGAAAUUCUUGCUUUCCCUGGUGAACAACGAAGGGGAAGGGAAUGGAGUGUGGUGAAAGAGAGGGCAGAAAGGCUGCCAGUGUCCUCUUCAUCCCUGCCCCACCCCCACCCCCACCCCCCAGCACAGAGAGACCCGGGAAGAUUUCAAAUCUUUCCUUUAAGUGGCGGCUAAGGACAAAAUGAAAUGACUUAGCCACCUAUCAUGGUCUUUACUGAGUUAUAUCCAUGGAUAUAAGAUAAUUUGGCAUCUAAAAAACAAAGACAGGGCCAGUAAAAUGGCUCACUGGGUAAAGGUGCCCGCUGCCAAGCCAGAGCACCUGGGUUUGGUCCUUGGAACUCACACGGUGGGGAGAACAGAUCCCUUCAUGCUGUGUGCUGAUGCCCACAUGCAUGUUAGGAAAACACUUCCAGCCCCCUAAACUAACUUUUUCUAUUCCGUACUCUGCCUGUGACUAGACCUGGAAGGAGAGAACAAGGGCCUUCCUGAGGCAGGACAAGGACCCAGAACUACCCAGAAUGCAGCAGGGCGGCCCCGCACGACUGAGCUCUGAUCCUAACCUGCAAAGUGAAGUUUCAAUUUCCACUUCCUGAGAAGAUGUGGAAACUCAGAGAGGAUGCCACUGUUUUGAACUAUUUUGAAGGCACAGCCACCAGAGCUUUAGGUGAGUGACUCUAUGCUUAUAGGCCCAAAUGUAUCUUCACCCCCUCUCACUCCCUGCGCUGUACAGUUUCCCAUUACCCAACAUGCACUUCUGUUAGCAGCUGACUCUUUCCUAAACCUAUUCCUCCAGGGACUUACUUAGCUAGACAACCAGCUUUUCAGUUUCUUCCUUAUUUUCCUACCUAACUUUAUUAAAUUAAAUUGUUUAUUUUUUGAGACAGGGUCUCACCUUGUAGCCCUGAAUGACUUGGAAUUUGCUGUGUAGACCAGGUUGGCUUUGAACUCACAAUUCUCCAUCUGCCUCUGUUCCCAAAUGCUGGGAUUAACAGUCUAUGUCACACAUACCUAGUCUUCCUUCCUAGCUUUCUAUUUUCAGGAAAUGUCUCUUGGGACUCAGUCUAUCAAGACAGGGGUGGAAGUGGAGCUGGCCAGUGGAGUGUUGGGACAAAGCUCUGAGUGGAGCCCUCGAGUUUAAAACGGAAUCUUAGAGAGGACGUGUUUACUCCUGCAUUAUAGAGCACGGACGCUCAUGACUCAGUUUGAUUUUCAUACACCGUUCUGCUCAUCACUGCCAAGUGGAGCAAUCCAGGCCUCUCAAAAUGUGCCAUACUACCUUCCAGCUAAAAGCUUUCUGUGGGGCUGGCGAGAUGGCUCAGCGGGUAAGAGCACCCGAUUGCUCUUCCGAAGGUCCAGAGUUCAAAUCCCAG
rnacentral:lncRNA from 1 species